AAUCUAAUGAUUCUCAAUAUUUCUUUGAUGGUAUUAUUUAGGAAUCUGAAUUCAUUUAACAGUCAACCAAAGGCAAAGUCAAAGUCAACAUUAUUGCCUGGAAAUGAAAAUUAACUGGAAAGUAAUAUCUCUUCUACAGUUAGACAGGUGAAGUCAAGACGCUGAACUAGUAAGAAAAUAGAAAAAAAAGCCUACAGACACUAGUAGAAGAUGUUUGAUUUGAGAAGCAUGAAGGUCAUUAUAUCUCUUUGCUUUUAUGUCUCCUGAGAUACGUUUGAAAAUGACUUUUAAAAAAUGAAACAUAUAGCAAGGAAAAACUGCAUACACUGCUUACAUUUUCAUGCUUUUGUGUAUUACUCAUGCUUUUUUUUAUCAACCUGAUUGAUUCCUUGCUGCAAUUACAUUAAUGUUUAUAUAGAUGUGAUCAUUGCUUGUUGGAUAAAUAUUUCACAAUAUGUAAAAUAUCAAAUGGAAAAUAAAAUAAGAGUUACAGCUG